rnacentral:rRNA from 1 species
AACGGAGAGUUUGAUCCUGGCUCAGGAUUAACGCUGGCGGCGUGCCUGACACAUGCAAGUCGAACGGGUGCCAGUUGCCCGCAAGGGUGGCUGGCGCUAGUGGCGGACGGGUGAGUAACACGUGGGCAACCUGCCUGAGAGUGCGGAAUAACCCUGCGAAAGCAGAGCUAAUACCGCAUGUGGUUCGCGGAUGGCAUCUUCCGCGAACUAAAGUCGCAAGACGCUCUCAGAUGGGCCCGCGGCCUAUUAGCUAGUUGGUGAGGUAACGGCCCACCAAGGCUUUGAUGGGUAGCUGGUCUGAGAGGACGAUCAGCCACACUGGGACUGAGACACGGCCCAGACUCCUACGGGAGGCAGCAGUGAGGAAUUUUCCGCAAUGGGCGAAAGCCUGACGGAGCAACGCCGCGUGAGGGAUGAAGUCUCUAGGGAU